GCUUUCAACAUCCCCGUCCAGAUUGGGCACGUCCCGAACCGGACUGAAGGC
ncrna:unclassified sequences nadA RNA